rnacentral:rRNA from 1 species
CUUGACAUGGCAGGAAUCCCUGAGAGAUUGGGGAGUGCUCGAAAGAGAACCUGCACACAGGUGCUGCAUGGCUGUCGUCAGCUCGUGUCGUGAGAUGUUGGGUUAAGUCCCGCAACGAGCGCAACCCUUGUCAUUAGUUGCUACGAAAGGGCACUCUAAUGAGACUGCCGGUGACAAACCGGAGGAAGGUGGGGAUGACGUCAAGUCCUCAUGGCCCUUAUGGGUAG